rnacentral:rRNA from 1 species
UACGGAGGGAGCUAGCGUUGUUCGGAAUUACUGGGCGUAAAGCGCACGUAGGCGGCUUUGUAAGUUAGAGGUGAAAGCCCGGGGCUCAACUCCGGAACUGCCUUUAAGACUGCAUCGCUUGAAUCCAGGAGAGGUGAGUGGAAUUCCGAGUGUAGAGGUGAAAUUCGUAGAUAUCUGGAGGAAUACCGGUGGCGAAGGCGGCAUCCUGGACCGACAUUGACGCUGAGGAGCGAAAGCCAGGGGAGCAAACGGG